rnacentral:rRNA from 1 species
GACGGAGGGUGCUAGCGUUGUUCGGAUUUACUGGGCGUAAAGGGCGCGUAGGCGGCCAGAUCAGUCGGGUGUGAAAGCCCGGGGCUCAACCCCGGAACGGCACCCGAGACGGUUUGGCUGGAGACCGGGAGAGGAGGGUGGAAUAGCCAGUGUAGAGGUGAAAUUCGUAGAUAUUGGCUGGAACACCGGUGGCGAAAGCGGCUCACUGGCCCGAUACUGACGCUGAGGUGCGAAAGCGUGGGGAGCGAUCCGG